rnacentral:piRNA from 1 species
UUAAAAAAUUAACAAAGUGAGCCUAUUCUAU